GAUGAACGCUGGCGGCGUGCCUAAUACAUGCAAGUCGAGCGAACGGACGAGAAGCUUGCUUCUCUGAUGUUAGCGGCGGACGGGUGAGUAACACGUGGAUAACCUACCUAUAAGACUGGGAUAACUUCGGGAAACCGGAGCUAAUACCGGAUAAUAUUUUGAACCGCAAGGUUCAAAAGUGAAAGACGGUCUUGCUGUCACUAAUAGAUGGAUCCGCGCUGCAUUAGCUAGUUGGUAAGGUAACGGCUUACCAAGGCAACGAUGCAUAGCCGACCUGAGAGGGUGAUCGCCCACACUGGAACUGAGAAACGGUCCAGACUCCUACGGGAGGCAGCAGUAGGGAAUCUUCCGCAAUGGGCGAAAGCCUGACGGAGCAACGCCGCGUGAGUGAUGAAGGUCUUCGGAUCGUAAAACUCUGUUAUUAGGGAAGAACAUAUGUGUAAGUAACUGUGCACAUCUUGACGGUACCUAAUCAGAAAGCCACGGCUAACUACGUG
rnacentral:rRNA from 1 species